GGAAAAGAAACUUACAAGGAUUCCCCUAGUAACGGCGAGCGAACCGGGAAUAGCCCAACUGAGAAUGCG
rnacentral:rRNA from 1 species